GUGCACCAGGCGAGAAUCCUUCGCAAUGCAGGAAACUGCGACGAGGGAACUCCAAGUGCCUACGCUCAGCGUAGGCUGUUCUCAAGCCUAGAAAGCUUGAGGAGUAAGGGCUGGGGUAAGACGGGUGCCAUCUGUGGUAGCAGUCAAUAGAUUCGAUUUGUUACUGCAAGGCAUAAGCCGCCGCGGUGAUACCCGCAGCCCAAGUGGUGGCCGUCUUUUAGUUGGGCCUAAAGCGUCCGUAGCCGG
rnacentral:rRNA from 1 species